rnacentral:rRNA from 1 species
UACGUAGGGUGCGAGCGUUGUCCGGAAUUAUUGGGCGUAAAGGGCUCGUAGGCGGUUUGUCGCGUCGGGAGUGAAAACACCGGGCUUAACUCGGUGCUUGCUUUCGAUACGGGCAGACUAGAGGCAUGCAGGGGAGAACGGAAUUCCUGGUGUAGCGGUGAAAUGCGUAGAUAUCUGGAGGAAUACCGGUGGCGAAGGCGGCAUCCUGGACCGACAUUGACGCUGAUGAGCGAAAGCUAGGGGAGCAAACGGG